CUCCAACAGAAAUGAGGUUAGGAGUUAUGCUGACAGAGGAACAGAGUACUCCCCCGACUCCACUAAUGAGGAGUGUUUUAAGAUUGAGGAGUUUUUCAAAGGGAGAUUCAGAACCUGAGAUUGUUCGCUAGGCUAAUGUGCCCUGGGCAGCAUAUUUAUUUAGGAAAGAGGGUUUUUAGUUUGUGUGAACUGACCUGCUCCAGACCGUGAGUAAUGGGGAAUUGAUACCUGAACCCAUUUUCCUCUGAUCCUCAACUUUCUGCAUAUGCAUUGUUGUUGUUGUUUGUUUACCUUUUGAGCAGGAUGGACCGCACCAAUCAGCUUGUCCCCCCGGAAGUCCCUGACUGUGGCUAAGUCUACCCCUCGGCGUUUCCGAACCGGUACUGAACCCACAGAGCCUGGAAGCUGUGUGGGCGCGGCACGCGCCUGCGCAGUUCCGUCAACGCGCCCCUGCCCAGGGCGUCCGGCACCUCUAGGUCUGUGAGAACCCAGGCUGCCUCAGCUCUGCCAGCAGCGUUUGUUGAGCUGCGCAUCAAUUGCAGAGUCCUUAUAAUACGGAGUAGAGAAGGUCGUUGGAGCCCGACCUGUUGGAGGACACACAGAACGUUUGUGGGGGUCAAGUUCCCGAACGUUUCUCCUCAGAGGACUAUUAGGCCUUGCGGGGGGGAUGGCAGAUGUUCAGGCGUUCCGGUGAGACGUGGCUUCAGGCUGCAGGGAAACAGCCCCAGGAAGAAAGGAGAGUGAGAUGAGGACAACAUCUACUUCUCUUAGAAGACUCUGCUGCAGCCCCAUUUAGUGCCUUUUGUUUCUGUCUCAUGGGUGAGAACAGGAUCCCCGCAGCCAGCCUGAACUUAAAGUGAUAUGAGAAAAUUUCUGCCAGUGGUACUGAUUAUAAAGAGCACUCAUCUUUAUAUCGGAUGCAGGAGAAAUGGAGAGAAUCGUGUGCUGUCUUAAGAAAAGCACAUGAUUGUUCUGUGAUUCUACAAAAGAUAUAAAACAUAUGUAUUUUUAUUUGAUUUACAUAUUCAAUUGCAUAGUUAUGUAAUGCAUGUUUUGUUAAUAACUCUUAAAACCGGGGUUCUGUUAUGCUGUCUCAGCCAACAGAAGUCCAACCUAAAGGAUAUGAAAUGACAUUCUGCCCAUAUUGUUCAAGAAAAUAAAUGCCAUUUAAAGAGUAAA
ensembl:lncRNA